GUACAUGUUAUUGUCGUAACUUCCUUUUUGAAUAUGAUAGUUUUUGUGAUUUCGGCGGUUUGAAACCGCCUAAAUAUUCUUUUAUUAAUUAAAGAAUUACCUCAUUUGUGCAAACCUAGCUUAGCAAAGUAGAGUGCGCGAGAGUGAGUUUUCUCCUCCGGCGAUGCCUCUUCAGAGUUCAUAACUUCCAUAGAUGCGAUCUGCGUUCUCACUUCUAGAUCUGUUGCGGCAUGGAAGCCCGACGCAGAGGUUUUAGAUCGAAUGCUCCAGAUGAAAGAGUGAUUAGUGUUGCUGCGUAUGAGAAAGUGUGAGUGAUGUGAAUGAUGAACCCUAAUCUCUUGUCACCCUUCAUCUUCCGCAGCUAUCGUUCAUCUCGUCGUUGUUUCUCAUCCCCUCACGCCACCAAAUUAGUUCUUCCAACAUUUUUGACGGCCUCUUUGAUUGGGAAUUCAUCGAGAAAUGUAAAUCGUUGAUUAAACAAUCAAGGAAUCAGAUCAAUGUGAUAAGGAGAAAGAGAAAUUCAGCAAAGAAGUUUCUUAAGCAAGACACCAUUGAUCUGCUUGCGAAUCAUUUCCAGUAUUGAAACUGUUCAAGCAAAUUUGGCAUGUUAUCACAUAAGGCUGUGCACCUGAUUCAAGGCAUAAACGAGCAAAAGGCAAAGUUUCUGAUUCACAAUGCUUAAUUGCUCAGAUAAUUGUUGUUGCUGGAUUAAUUUCUAUAUUUUGAAAUAUGAACUGGUUUCUAGUCUUCCACAUAGUCCAGCUAAGAAAACCUAUGUUACUGAUUAAGAACUAAGAACACUAUUCCAUUUAAUUGUAGCGAAAGAGAGAAAAUCCUAAUGAACCAGGUUCACCAUCCCUUAUUCAGAGCUGGACAAGUCUCUGCUGGUGAUCCAUGGGAGUGGUAUGAGUGGACCAAUUGCUUCUGAAAUUUCAUUUCUGAAAAACCUUACUGACUUGAGAAUCAGCGACUUGAAAGGACCAGAUUCUUAUUUUCCACCACUUAGUAACUUGACAAACUUGCAAACACUAGUAUUGAGAAGUUGCAAUCUUAUAGGAUCGAUUCCAGAAUAUUUUGGAAAUGUAACUACUUUAAACUCAUUGUAAGUGAUGCUUUAUUCUUUUCAAAUUUUUUUUGUUGGCAAUAUGCUUCUAACUUGGAAGUUUCAUGCACUGAAUGUAUUUUUUUGACAAAUUUUUGCUGUUUAACUUUGAUAAAAAAAAAUAUAAUAACGUUUAGAAGAAUGACAUGAGGUUUGGGGACAAGUGAUCUUCACAAAAGCAAAAACAGAUAAAUUAAAAGCAUAUUUUUUAAUUAAUUUUGCCUUUUUUAAUUAAAAGCAAAAACAGAUAAUAUGUAUGAAGGCUAUGCUAUAGACUGGAGUCUUCUUGUUCCCGGAGUCGGAAGGCUUGUAUCUGGUAAUAUUUGGUUAUUUCUUUUUCUCUAUAUUUAGCUACAUUUUAUAAACAUGGAAUAUUGACAAUACUCCAUUUGUUGGGCAUACUGCUACUGUUGAAGAUCUGCAAGUUAUAUUGGGGGUUUAUGAGACCUCUUAACUAUCAAAUAGCAUAUAGUUUAUAGAUGAUGAUUGAGCAUAUAUGUGAAUGCUUUUUUGGAUCUAUAUAGUCUUUUUGUAAUUAUAUACUACUUUGUAUAAUUUUUUCAAGAAUUUCAUCAGAGCAAAAUCUUCCAAGUAAAAUGAAGGUAUUUAACUAUUUAUAUUUGUAAUUAUAUACUUCUGUAAUUGGUAUUUUGUGGGAAGUAUGAAGGGUUAUCGGAUUAUUUCCAAGACCCUUUAUUAACUUAGCUUUCUAUUUUCUGCCAUUGACUUGAGUUGUCAAUUCUUCAUAUUAAAUUGGCAUGUGUGAUGAGUGUGAAUGCUAAUUCAUAUUAAAAUCCACACACAUAUGACAUUAUAUUGGGAAUCUUGGGGAUUUAUCAAGCUUCAAGUAACCUUUGCUCCAAGCUAUUCUUCUUCCUUCACACAAAUCCAUCUCUUUUAAGACAGAAUUCAAUUCAAGAAUGGCAGUUACACAUGCUGAUCUCGAACCAAACACAGGGAAGACAUGUUUGAUGAGCAGCAAAACUGGUGUAUUCCUCGUACUUGUCACAAUCCUAUUGGGACUCUCCUCCUUCACUCUCUGCCUCAUAACAAAAGCCACACGUUCUCAGGAUCAUGGGAUUGGAUUUAUCACUCAUUCAUGGUGGACUUUAGUACCUUGCGGCCAGUUCUACUACUACUACUUUCUGCACUGUCAAAAAAUAUUAAAGAAUAAAAUUCUUGUGCAGGGAAGGAAGUAUUGAUUAGAACUCGUUUUCUAGAGAUGAAUGCUCCUAGGGACAGUUCAUCUGUCAACAAGAGGUUUGUGCUAUGAAGUUUAAUGUCCUUGUGACUACUUAUGAGUUUAUCAUGUAUGAUCGAUCAAAGCUUUCAAAAGUCGAUUGGAAAUAUAUCAUAAUUGAUGAAGCACAGAGAAUGAAGGAUAUGGAUUCAGUCCUGGCCCGUGAUCUUGAUAGGAAAACUCCCAAUGUAAUAGAACUAACAAUAUUUCUUAGUUUGAUACUUUGUAUAGGAGUUAUUAUUUUUUAUUUGUAAUACUAAAAUAUCAUAUAUUAUGUUUAAUACUGAGUUAUAUAAUAUUUUGUCUAUGGAUUAUGAUUUUGUUA